rnacentral:rRNA from 1 species
GGCGCAUGGAGACCUUGGCCCAGGCCCUACGGGGCGCAGCAGUCGCGAAAACUCCGCAAUGCGCGAAAGCGUGACGGGGCUACCCCGAGUGCCGUCCGCUGAGGAUGGCUUUUCCCCGGUGUAAUGAGCCGGGGGAAUAAGGAGAGGGCAAGUCUGGUGUCAGCCGCCGCGGUAAUACCAGCUCUCCGAGUGGUAGGGACAAUUAUUGGGCUUAAAGCGUCCGUAGCUGGCUUGGCAAGUCUCCUGUUAAAUUCAGCGACUUAAUCGUUGAGCCGCGGGAGAUACUACUAGGCUAGGAGGCGGGAGAGGCCGACGGUAUUCCCGGGGUAGGGGUGAAAUCCUAUAAUCCCGGGAGGACCACCAGUGGCGAAGGCUGUCGGCUAGAACGCGCUCGACGGUGAGGGACGAAAGCUGGGGGAGCGAACCGGAUUAGAUACCCGGGUAGUCCCAGCCGUAAACGAUGCGGGCUAGGUGUUGAGGUGGCUACGGGCCACUUCAGUGCCGCAGGGAAGCCAUUAAGCCCGCCGCCUGGGGAGUACGGCCGCAAGGCUGAAACUUAUAGGAAUUGGCGGGGGAGCACCACAAGGCGUGAAGCUUGCGGUUCAAUUGGAGUCAACGCCGGGAACCUUACCGGGGGCGACAGCCGGAUGAAGGCCAGAUUGAAGGUCUUGCUGGACAAGCUGAGAGGAGGUGCAUGGCCGUCGCCAGUUCGUGCCGUGAGGUGUCCUGUUAAGUCAGGCAACGAUCGAGACCC